UCUGCUGUUGUUUCUUCCAAAAAAAACCCCACGAACCAGUCUAAAAAAGAAAACUCCCUGGCGUGUGCCUAUAGAUCGUUCAUUAGCAUGACAUUACCGGCUGUGGGGAAACGCCAAGGUUUGAGUGCCCGGAGCAAAGCCAGGUCUUGCUGCUCAUAUUCUACACGCAAAAUGUCUCUCCUGGCCUCGCAGCAUGUUAUUUUUGCUCGGUGACUGCUUGCUCGGUCGCUUUGGGGAGGGUGGCACAGGAUGGUUCCUCCAGGCUUCCACCCGUCACAGCUCGGAGUCUCCUUCGGGGAUGUGGUUGUUCCAUUUUGCUGUGCUCUGUUUUAGAAAAUCCCCCAAUAUUGACCCAAAGCAGCGUAAGCUCAGGUGCUUCUUGACGUUGGAGCAAGCUGCUGGUCUGCAGGCGAUUUCCCUUUGGUGACGAGCGGUGAGUAACGAUUCAUUAGGGAGCAGGGUGGGUUCGGGCACUGUGCACUUGGUGUUUUAUGGUGACCCAUCAACUGUCAGCCCUUACUUAGGGGCUUUUUUUCCUCUUCUUGAAUCCUCUAACACUGACCCCCCCGGGAAUAUUUUUGGUUGCCACACAGCAUCCUCAGCUCCUUGUGUUGGGGGUUUUGAGGCUAAUGAGAGACCUGUGCCAAGAAGGAAAGGGGGAUGCAGUGAGACCCCUCAGAAUCCGGUAGAUUCGUUAGCUCAGGCUCACCCGGGGAGGUUCUCCUCUUUUUCCAUUAAACAGAACAAAGCCAGUCCUACAAUCUUCCAGUAUCUAGGAAAGAUGCUGGCAUCUGGAUCUAGGAGAGAUGCCUAGCUCCUUGAAGUAGGAGACCUGCGGUGACCAAGGCACCACGUAAGAGGCAAAACUGGCCAUGAACAGCCAUUUUUGGGGACUGGCUUUAAACCUGGGAUAAAGUGACCUCAGCAUGUGUACCAUGGCCACAGCGUCGCACACUUGACAGCCCACCCCAGAGGGGCCUGUGCGAAACCAUUGCUUUUUCCCCACAGAGGAAUCGGCAGAGAAUUUUUUUCCAGUUGAAACCACCGAAGCUGCUUCUGGUUUUGCCGCAGCCGCUGGUGGAGCUGUUUCUCACACAGGGCUGAGCUGACUUUGUCAGUGCCGUGCGGAUGCGCAGGGAUGCUGGUCUGCGGCAGCCGCUCCAGCCAUCGCCUGACAUCCCCCAGAAAGGAGCACGAUCUGAUUGCUGGUGCAAUCAGGUGUACGGAAGAAUUGUUUAAAUUUUUUAAAAAAGCAAAUAAUAGUGAUUUUAUCAGAGGCAAUGGAUUUGGCAGCUGAGUAGGAGCCCGUAGGAAACAGAGCUGGCUGAGUGCUUCUGUGGUGAGACAGGUAAAUUAAUACAGCCCGACAAAUAAAUCGCCAACUUUUGGCCCCAGAAUUAAUGCUUGUUUGAAGUGAGUCUGAUAUCAUUGCAUAUGACUUGCCUGGUUACACAUGCAGCUUUUCAGAGUCAACAGCCGGCUGGUUUUGGGCUACGAUGGUCUCCGGCCGACUGGGGAGGAGGGCAGUGCUCUCGCCCCGAGCCAGCCCCGGGAGCCGUAAUGCCAUUUUACUGACCCUCCUGCGACCGUGAAUUCAAGUCCUGGUUUUCCAGGACAAGGACUAACAGCCCUGGUGCACUUUUCCUGCAGGAUCCUUCGCUGGCUACUCUCCCUGCAUAAGCACUUGCCUGCAACCAAGGUACGUUUUAGCCUUUGCUGGGACGACUCCACAGCUCUGCAUGUCUUUCUCUCGUUGCAAGGCUGGCUCUCCACACCUUGGCUUUCUCCAGCCCCUCUCUUCUGAACUCCUUUCCCAACAGGGUGAUCCGGAGGGCAAUGGUGCCACUAAUGAUGCAUAAUAUCAUCUCCCUGCCUGUGCCAUCCCAGCCAGGAGCACGGCACCCAUGGGAGCUGCUUGCAAGGGCUACAAACAGCCCGCGGGGGUCAAACCUGCCUGCACCUCCUAUGCCAAGGAUAAAAAUUCGUUUCUUGUUAAGACAAGAUCCUUCUUAACAUGUUCCUGGGUGGAGCUGAGCCUGCUGCAGGGCAGAGCCAUAACGUAGGGAGCUGAAGUCUACGCCGUGCUCUGGGGGGAGCAGAAAUGGGGGUGCAAGGAGACCCGCACAGCGGAUGCUCGAGCAAGCACCAUAUAUACAAACCUGUACAAACGGAGCAGCAAAUCAGCGGUGUUGCAAGACAGUGAGACCUUCCCCACAAAGCGCCUGCCAGCGGAGUGGAGAUGGCAAGAAAUACGUGUUGCAAACUUUCUGCUGAGUUACAGAGAAUCAGCCGGCGAUUGCAGCAGGCAAGAAUUUGUGACAACCAUCUGAGCUCCCGCAGAAGCAGAGCCACUCCAGUGAUGUGCGCCGUGCUCAGCCCUCGCCUUGGGGAUUUCAUCCUUUCCUCCAGGUUUCCCAUCCUUAAUUUGUUUCCCGCUGUGGUUUGCCACCCCCGGCUCUCGGGGUGCAGGCGAUGCUGUGAGGGCUCCUGUGCUACUCCAGGAACAUACUCCUAGGCUCUUUUUCCCCUCCCUAAAAAAUAACACUUGUAGAUGAGGAAUAAGCAAGGCCCAGGGCAAGAAUAGGAAUCACCCGUGAAUAAACCCAGGGUUGGUGCAAGGGGAACUAGGACCACAAAUGAACAUUAUAGCGCGAAUCAGGAGUUAAUGAUUGUGGUUUGGUGAUGUGCUCAAGAGCAGAACGUUUCUCUGCCCCAUCCUCCAGCCAUUAAAACUUUAAGCUGGAGCGGGGCGGGGGGGGGAAGUCUCUGAUCUCCUGCUCUGGGUGGACUGCCUUAUCUUGGAUGUGCAGCUGGAACCUGAAGGAAAACCGAACCCUCUGGCGAUGGGGUGCUAACUCCAGGGUGAGGACAUUCAUUGCCCUGCCUGGCGGGGAAGAGGGGUCACCUCCUGCUGCUGCACCCCACUCUGGUGUGGCCGAAGCUGCAGGGCUGUGCUUUAUUUAAAAGGUAGAAUAAAUGCUGCUGAGGGGCACCAGGCUGCAUCUUCCAGCCCACCGUCUUUAACUCAGCAUCAUGCUGGCGGCGGCUAAGUGGAAGCUGUCCCUAUCUGUGCCCCUGAGCUCUUCAGGCCAUCUUGCCUGGCCUAUGGGUCACUUGAAUUAAUUGUAGGCUAUAAAAUUGGGUUUUGGACUAAGCCACCCAGUGCCUGUCUCCUCUGAGACUGCAAACCAAGAUCACGUGAGUUUAAUCCUCUCCCUGCCUUGUUACAGGUGUUUUCCCAACCCCAUGCCAGAUCUAACCAGGUCUAAGCCAGAGGGAGCACAAGAGAAACAACAGGGUUGUGGGAAAAUUGCCUGGUUUUAGGAGACUCUAUAUUUGGAUUUGACUCCCAAUCGUGGAAUGGUUGGUGUUUCUCCCCCCAAACAAACGUGUGCGUAUAUCCAGCUGCAGUACAGGGGAUUAGGGAAAAGAGAGCGGAGGAGAAGCUGGCACAGCUGAGCAGCCCCACACGCCAUGGCAGAGGGGCUCGGGGGGGUGUUUUGGGUAGUUGGGCAGUGCCUGGGAUUUCCCAUCCUGGGUCAGUGCAGGGCACAAGGUGCUAUCCAGGCAAAACUGCAACCCAUCCCCUGCCUGAGGGCAGUCUAAUUUGAUGCCCAGCUUUGGUGGAAGGAUGAUGGGGCCAGACCUCCUAUCUCAGCUGAGACUAUGUGAACUAAAUGUAAUAGAAAAUGAAAGGAGACAAUGAACCAGAUGCCGCUGGAUCUUUAUAAAGGGCACACAUCAUGUAUGAAGAGGUACGAGACCAAUAGCGGGUUGGCUACGGAGAGCGAAAAGGACUUUAGUUUAUGGGAUGGGGUAACACCGCAGUGACUGGGCAUCCCUCCACUGAGCAUCUACUAGAAGAGACUGCUGAUACGACCUAUUUCUUUUCAAACAGGGGCUUUUGCAACUCACCCCUGAUCCAUACCAGUCCGUAAGACACAGCUCAUGGUUAUCUCUACAGAAGCAGCCAAGGAGGUCUGGAGCACUUGCUAUACAGCAGAUAAGUGCACAAGGUGUUUCUGAUCAGUCACAAAUUAAGGGCCCACUCCAGUGAUUUUCGGGCCACAGUCAGCUUUAGGUGAAGAAAGUGGAAAUAAUAUUGGUGGGAGGGAGGGGAAAGGAAUUGAUGCGCUGCACCUUAGGCUAGCUAAGGUGGCUGUUGGCAGGUGCUGGUUUAGCCGAGGGAAGAAAAAGCCCUGCUGUUUGUUAAGAUUUAAGAGCUGUUGCAUCAUAAAAGCUGGGUUUGGGGGGAAGAAGGGCUGAGGGUUGUGUGGUGUUACCCUCAUUCCUGGGAGAUACACAAACAAGCAUGUCAGCAUUGCUGCCCCUGGAUUUUGUGGUCAUUGUGUGGUUUGGGGUUUUUUUAUGCAUCUGAAGGUUUUCUUCAAGCCCACCUUAUGAAGCUGCAUGAUUUCCUCAGACUUUCACCUUUCUUUUC